rfam:Nitrososphaera viennensis EN76, complete genome.
GCCCUAGUAGCUCAGCCUGGCAGAGCGAGGGUUUCGUAAACCCUAGGUCGUGGGUCCGAAUCCCACCUAGGGCU